AUUGAACGCUGGCGGCAGGCCUAACACAUGCAAGUCGAACGAGUGGCGGACGGGUGAGUAAUGUAUGGGGAACUGCCCGAUGGAGGGGGAUAACUACUGGAAACGGUAGCUAAUACCGCAUACCAUCGGAUGUGCCCAGAUGGGAUUAGCUAGUAGGUGAGGUAACGGCUCACCUAGGCGACGAUCCCUAGCUGGUCUGAGAGGAUGACCAGCCACACUGGAACUGAGACCAGGUCCUGACUCCUACGGGAGGCAGCAGUGGGGAAUAUUGCACAAUGGGCGCAAGCCUGAUGCAGCCAUGCCGCGUGUAUGAAGAAGGCCUUCGGGUUGUAAAGUACUUUCAGCGAGGAGGCGUUACUCGCAGAAGAAGCACCGGCUAACUCCGUGCCAGCAGCCGCGGUAAUAC
rnacentral:rRNA from 1 species